CUACGGGCGGCAGCAGUGGGGAAUAUUGCACAAUGGAGGAAACUCUGAUGCAGCAACGCCGCGUGGAGGAUGACACUUUUCGGAGCGUAACUCCUUUUAUAUAGGAAGAUAAUGACGGUACUAUAUGAAUAAGCGCCGGCUAACUCCGUGCCAGCAGCCGCGGUAAUACGGAGGGCGCAAGCGUUACUCGGAAUCACUGGGCGUAAAGAGCGUGUAGGCGGAUUAAAAAGUCAGAAGUGAAAUCCUAUAGCUUAACUAUAGAACUGCUUCUGAAACUCUUAAUCUAGAAUAUGGGAGAGGUAGAUGGAAUUUCUGGUGUAGGGGUAAAAUCCGUAGAGAUCAGAAGGAAUACCGAUUGCGAAGGCGAUCUACUAGAACAUUAUUGACGCUGAGACGCGAAAGCGUGGGGAGCAAACAGGAUUAGAUACCCGAGUAGUC
rnacentral:rRNA from 1 species